GGAUAAGGGGCAUCCUUUCCUGGUUCCCUUACUAAUGUUACAUUCCUUGGUGGAAGAGGACAACCAUCCCAGAUAGAAGGAGUGUACCGUUCUUCGGUCAAGGGUAUACAAUAGCUGUGCUCCCCUGCUAGAACCUCCAAACAAGCUCAAGUUCACUGAAACUCUAUCCACAGGCCACACCCUCUCUUCCCAGGUGACAUUGCAGGUCUUGCUCCACAUCCUCCUCAGGUGUUUUAGCCUGGCUGGAACAUGCCUUUGAA